AUGAGCAACACUGUCCUCCCUGAUUCUGCCUGGGGCACCACCCUGCUCUCUUGGGUUACUGUCUUUCUCUUGGGAACAAGUUCAGCAAAUUCUGGGGUUGUCCAGUCUCCAAGACACAUAAUCAAAGAAAAGGGAGGAAGGUCUGUUUUGAAGUGUAUUCCCAUCUCUGGACAUAGCAAUGUGGUCUGGUACCAACAGACCCUGGGGCAGGAAUUAAAGUUCCUUAUUCAGCAUUAUGAAAAAAUGGAGAGAGACAAGGGAUUCCUACCCAGCAGAUUCUCAGUCCAACAGUUUGAUGACUACCACUCUGAGAUGAACAUGAGUGCCUUGGAACUGGAGGACUCCGCUAUGUACUUCUGUGCCAGCUCACCACAGCCUUACAGAGCUACUGGCUUUCUGUUACUUAAUCUUUCUGUCCCAGCUGGUGACAUACUGGAGAGGGGUUGGGCAAUGCCAGGAAGGCUUAGCCAUGACCCAGAAAUGAUUUUAUCUCUACACGAAUCCCCCAACGGUCUACUGGAGCUAACAUAG